GACGAACGCUGGCGGCGUGCCUAACACAUGCAAGUCGAACGGAAAGACCCUAAUUUUGUGGGGUUCUCGAGUGGGGAACGGGUGAGUGACACAUGUGUAACCUGCCCCUGAAUGUGGGGGAACAUCUGGAGACAGCGGCUAAUACCGCAGAGGAUCUCCUGCUGCACAGUGGGGGUUAGAAAGUGGCGGCUGUUGGGGAUGGAUUGGCUGCUUAUCAGCUUGAUUGGGGGGUAGUGGCGUUCCAAGGCUUUGACGGGUAGGCCGCCUGAGAGGGUGACCGGCCACAUGGGGACUGAGGUACGGCACAGAAGCGUACGGGAGGCAACAGUGGGGAAUAUUGCAGAAUGGGCGCAAGCCAGAUGCAGAAACGCUGCGUGCGGGAAGAUGGCUUUCGGGUUGAAAACAGCUUUCGACUUAAACGAAGCGUGCGUGACGGUAACGGGUAAAAAAGCCACGGCUAACUACGUG
rnacentral:rRNA from 1 species